AAAGUGUGAUAACUAAUGUGAAUUGCAUAUGCUUGUGAAUCAUCAAGUUUUCGAACGCAGCUUGCACUCGGGCCUUUCGGUUCGAGUAUACCUGUUUGAGCGUUUGUAAGUACCACUAUCUUGCAAAAGAUGAAUGGACUCUUGCUUCAUUAUCACUGUUUUACACGCUUCUUGUAAAGGAAGAUGUAAGUAAGUGUGAGCAAGCAACAGUCUGGAAUGAAGACUAGUGCCUAAUAGUGUUAAAACCAUCUAUUAGCACACAUCUACAAACCUUAAACCUCAAAUCAGGUAGGACUACCCGCUGAACUUAA
rnacentral:misc_RNA from 1 species